CAGUAUAGAGACAUCUGAAGAAUAGGAAGAUGUAUGUGGCUGAGAAUAGUUAGUUCAUUCAUAUUUGCCAUUGGUAGCUACAGUAGGCAAUUGUAUGCUCGAUUAUAUAAAUGGAUGAAACUUCUUGCCUAUCACUUUAGAGAGCCUGCUUUGGAAAGUAAUGAUUUGAGGUUUCUGAUCCGUAUUUCCUGAUCACUAUAGUUACUAAUUGAUGUCAGUAUCUCAUGUCAAGAAAGUCUCCAGUUGU
rnacentral:lncRNA from 1 species